UUAGAGGAAGUAAAAGUCGUAACAAGGUUUCCGUAGGUGAACCUGCGGAAGGAUCAUUCAUAAUAAGUGUUUUACUGCACUUUUUAAACAAGUACUCACCUUGUGUGCAAUGUUUUGCUGUCGUGUCGUUCACGCGUCGCGUCAGCUUAAUACCAACCUUUUAUUGAAACAAUUUUGUCUGAAGAUAUUUUGAAUAAAUAAUUCUAAAUACAACUUUCAACAACGGAUCUCUUGGCUCUCGCAUCGAUGAAGAACGCAGCGAAAUGCGAUACGUAAUGUGAAUUGCAGAAUUCAGUGAAUCAUCGAAUCUUUGAACGCACAUUGCACUCUCUGGUAUUCCGGAGAGUAUGCUUGUUUGAGUAUCUGUAAACAUCUCAAAUCUCUCAGCGCUUGCGCUAAAGAGAAUUGGAUUUGAGCGAUCCCGACUCCUUCGUCAGAAAGAGGAGGGUCGCUUGAAAUGCAGGUGCAGCUGGACAUUCUUCUGAGCUAAAAGCAUAUCUAUUUAGUCCCGUCAAACGGAUUAUUACUUUUGCUUCAGCUAAUAUAAAGGUCGAAUGAACUACCAACGCUGAUUGCAGGAAAACUCGUUCUUAACCGAACUUGUGAACUCGAUCUCAAAUCAAGUAAGACUACCCGCUGAACUUAAGCAUAUC
rnacentral:rRNA from 1 species